rnacentral:tRNA from 2 species
GCCCCCGUAGCUCAACUGGAUAGAGCAACAGAUUUCUACUCUGUAGGUUACAGGUUCAAGUCCUGUCGGGGGUA